rnacentral:rRNA from 1 species
UACGUAGGGUGCGAGCGUUGUCCGGAAUUAUUGGGCGUAAAGGGCUCGUAGGCGGUCUGUUGCGUCGGGAGUGAAAACUCAGGGCUUAACCCUGAGCCUGCUUCCGAUACGGGCAGACUAGAGGUAUGCAGGGGAGAACGGAAUUCCUGGUGUAGCGGUGAAAUGCGUAGAGAUCCGGAGGAACACCAGUGGCGAAGGCGACACGCUGGGCCAUACCUGACGCUAAAGCGCGACAGCAUGGGGAGCAAACGGG